CCUACGGGGGGCAGCAGUGGGGAAUAUUGCACAAUGGGGGAAACCCUGAUGCAGCGACGCCGCGUGAGUGAAGAAGUAUUUCGGUAUGUAAAGCUCUAUCAGCAGGGAAGAAGAAAGACGGUACCUGACUAAGAAGCCCCGGCUAACUACGUGCCAGCAGCCGCGGUAAUACGUAGGGGGCAAGCGUUAUCCGGAUUUACUGGGUGUAAAGGGAGAGUAGGUGGCAGAGCAAGUCCGAAGUGAAAACCCAAAGCUCAACUAUGGGAAUGCUUUAGAAACUGCUCAGCUAGAGUGCAGGAGAGGCA
rnacentral:rRNA from 1 species